GUAGGUGGCAAGCGUUGUCCGGAAUUAUUGGGCGUAAAGCGCGCGCAGGCGGUUCUUUAAGUCUGAUGUGAAAGCCCACGGCUCAACCGUGGAGGGUCAUUGGAAACUGGAGAACUUGAGUACAGAAGAGGAAAGCGGAAUUCCACGUGUAGCGGUGAAAUGCGUAGAGGUGUGGAGGAACACCAGUGGCGAAGGCGGCUUUCUGGUCUGUAACUGACGCUGAGGCGCGAAAGCGUGGGGAGCAAACAGGGAUUAGAUACCCUGGUAGUCCACGCCGUAAACGAUGAGUGCUAAGUGUUAGGGGGGUUUCCGCCCCCUCAGUGCUGCAGCUAACGCAUUAAGCACUCCGCCUGGGAGUACGGCCGCAAGGCUG
rnacentral:rRNA from 1 species